AAAAUAAUCUCAGUGCUGCCAAAUGCUCAGCAAAGACUUGACAGUGCUUAGGAGAAACCUUGCCGAACCCCUCAAGUAAUGAUGUUGGAAACCACAGGAUGCUGCAAGCUUCGCCACGGGGAGCCUUCCGACACUUUUUUAGCAGAUGGGGAGUAUCAAACUGAGGGAAGUCUUGGGAAUCCCUGAAACUGCAGGCAAUAUCAAAGAUGGGCCAGUGCUGUGGCAUAGAGGGUAAAGCCACCACCUGCUCCCUUCUGGGAGCCGUUUCAAGUCCUGGCAGCUCCACUUCUGGUCUGCUCUCUGCUAUGGCCUGGGAAAGCAGUAGAAGAUGGCCCAAGUCCUUGGGUCCCUGCACCUGCAUGGGAGACCCCAAAGAAGCUCCUGGCUCCUGGUUUCGGAUUGGCACAGCUCCGGCUGUUGCGGUCAAUUGGGGAGUGAACCAGCGGAUGGAAGACCUCUCUCUCUCUCUCUCUGCCUCUUCUCUUUCUGUGUAACUCUGACUUUUGAAUAAAUAAAUAAAUCUUUUAAAAAAAUGUUUUUUAGAAUUCAUUUGUAAAUCCAUCAGGUCUUGGAUUUGUCUUUGAUGGGAGAUUUUAAAUUAAAUUACUACUUCAUUCUUAUUAUAUGCAAUUGCUCUGUUUAGAUUUUCUCUGGCUUCUUGAUUUUAUUUUGGAAGGUUGUAUGUAUUCAGGAAUUUAUCCAUUUAUUUGAGGUUCAUCAAUUUGUUAGCAGAUACCUGAUUAUAGUAGUUUCUUAGGAGCCUUUGUAUUUCCUAUUUUAUUUAUUUUAGUUUUCUAUUUGUUUUUGUUUUGUUACUCUGACUAAACAUUUGUCUAUUUUUUUUUUUACCUUUUCAAAAAAUCAGAUUUUGUUUUUGGAUUCUUAGUUUCAAUAUUUCUGCUUGGAACCCUAUCAUGCCUUGCUUCCUGCUAAUUUGAGGUUUAGUUUGUUCUUUUUCUAAGUCCUUGAGAUACAUUGUUAGAUAGUUUAUCUGAAAUCUUUUAAUUUUUAAAAAUAUUUGCACUUAUUGCUAUGAAUUGCAUUUGCUGUACCCCCACAGUUUCUGAUAUGUUGUAUUUUCAAUUUUUUCAAGGAAGUUUUUAUUUUCUGUUUGAUUUCUUCAGUAAUCCAUUGGUCAUUCAAGAGCAUGUGGUUCAGGUUUUACAUAUUUGUAAAUGUUCUAUUGCCCUCUUUAUUGUUAACUUCUAGUUGUAUUUCUUUGUGAUCUAAGGCAUAUGGUAUUUUCAUUUUCUUAAAUUGAUUGAGACUUGAUUUGUGCUUAUUUAUGGUAUAUCCUGGAAAAUGCUCCAGGUGCUGAUGAGAAGAAUGUGCAUUCUGUAGCUUUUGGGUGAAACGUUCUGCAAAUAUCUGUUAGGUCCAUUUAUUCUAUGGUGUUGUUGAAUUUUGAAGUAUCCUUUUUUGAUUUUCAGUGCAUAUAUUUUGAGUGCAUACACUUAUGUUAGUUAUAUCUUUUGUUGAAUGGAUCUGCUUAUAAGUAUAUAAUGUGGGCUGGGGCUGUGGCGCAGCAGAUUGAAGCCCUGGCCUGAGGCGCCGGCAUCCCAUAUGGGCACCAGUUUUAGUCCUGGCUGCUCCUCUUCUGAUCCAGCUCUCUGCUAUGGCCUUGGAAAGCAGUAGAAGAUGGCCAAAGUACUUGGCCCCCUGCACCCAUGUGGGAGACCCAGAAGAAGUUCCUGGCUCCUGGCUUCAGAUCAGCGCAGCGCUGGCCAUUGUGGCCAUCUGGGGAGUGAACCAGUAGAUGGAAGACCUCUCUCUCUGUCUCUACCUCUCUCUGUAACUCUUUCUUUCAAAUAAAUAAAAUAAAUCUUUUUAAAAAAGUUUAUAAUGGCAUUUUGUCUUUCUACAGUUUUUAUUUAAAGUCUCUUUUAUUGGAUAUGAGAAUAGUUACUCCACCUCACUUCUCAUUUCCAUUUCAAGGUAUAUACUUUUCCAACCCUUCACCUUAGUCUAUGGGUAUCUUUAUCUAUGAAGUGAGUUUCUUAUAGGUAGUAUUGUUACUGCAGAAUGGCAGGGUUCUUCAUGCAAGAAAGAAUUCAGGUGUGAGACAGAGAGUAGUGGGAGGUAAAAUAGCAAGGUUUAUUAGGGAAGGGACAUCCAUAAGAACGGAUGGGCACCUCUCCAGACAGAACCUGAGGGAGAGUGCCCAGUCGCUCGGACUGGGGGCGGGGUGGAGGAGCGAGGUUACAUGGUUGAGUGGAGAGAUUACACCUAGGCAGGCCAAGUGGGCGGCUCAGCAGAGAGGCAGAGUGCUGAGUGUGCAGUCUGGUUAAGGCUGGGGGUUUUUAAGGAGAUGGGUCUUUGUCUUCACACAUCUCCUCCUGAAACAAAGGAUUUUAUGGAUGUAAAUAUUAAGAAUCUCCUAUCUGAGUUUUCCCCUGAAGGUAUCAGACAGGAGGAAGCCUAGCUGG